UUUUAAAAUGGCUUUAUUAAAGGCUACAAGUAUAAAAUAUGACUAAGUUACAAGUCGUCAGUAAGAAUUUAUUACUUUUGAAAACAUUAAUUAAAGAAAGGGAGACGCAAAGAAAGGGAGGCUCUUCCUGAAAUCCACACAGGGGGGUGCGGCUCAGACGGGUGACAGACCCCCGCUGUUCCCAGUGGGGCAGCACCCCCAAACCCAGGGGGCCAAGGGAGGGGCUCCCAGAUGAAACAGAGGCUGGUUGCUGAUUUCUUGGGGGAACUUUUGUAAAAAUGAAGACACUGAAUCCUUGAGCUGAAUCCCAGGUGCAGAGACUGGGGGGGAGGUGGAGAAUCCAAAAUCAUGCUCAGGUUUCUCCUGAAAAGUGUGUAUUUUCUAAAAAAUAAAUAUAAACUCCUGGUUUGAGAAACUCCUUCCUGAUGCAUGCGAGGAAAAUCAUGGCAAAUGGAGAGCUGAGAACCUUUAUCUUCGCAUAGACUUUGCCCAAGGCGGAGAGGAAGAUCUGCCGGUCAGGCAGGAUGAAGACCCACACAUGAGCCUGUGUCCUCCAGGUCGUCCCUUCUUCCAAAAGCACAGCAAAGCAAUACAACUUGAGGACUCCCUCCAAGAUUUCCUAAUUUGUGAUUUUACAUUUAAUCUCAGGAGGCUAUACCAUUAAGAAACAUUAUUAGAGUUAACAUUGCUGGGUGCUGGGCCCCAGACGGUACUAAGUGAGGCAGAAGCUUUCAAUACUUCCUACAGCUCUCAGCACCAAGAAGAACUUGGAGGGAAUAUUGGGCUUUUUGAGAAAGUGGGAAAGAAAUUAGAAUUUCUCCCAAUAGAAGAGGCAGAUAGCCUUGGCCUACUGUGUAGGACACAGGUCUUUCUUCUGUGCUACACCAACGCUACAGAAUACAAACUCAUACAUAUACAUUUGCUACCACAGGUUCUACAGCAGCCCCAUGCUCUCCAGGCAGAAGGCGGAGGCAGGUGGCCGCUGAUUCUGAGGAUCCCUGUGUGAACAGUGCCGUUAGCCCCGAGGAGAGCUGGCGCUUGCCCAGGCUGUGCCAACUGGGAUUUCUAAGCUCCCUUUUCCCUCACCACCACGCUGAAACCCUUUUUUGCCUCACAUAUAUCAACUAUACUUAAAUCAUACAGAAAGAACCAAUAUUUGAAAAGUUACAGUAAAUCACUGAAGCAGAAAGAUAAACUACACCCCAAGGAUCCAAAUGAGGCUUAGGGACAUAAAGCAAUUGGCAAGAACCAAACCAAAAGUUGGCUAUGCCACAGCUUUGGCAGAAACUUUCCUGGAGGUGAUGAGGGGUUGAGGUGGAUUGCUAUGUGCUUUAUUUUGGAGCCAGAUAAAAUAUUCUGGAAAUCAUUUCAGAAGGUCCUAUGAAACAGGCAUUUAAAAAAAAAGAAGAAGAAGACACACUUUGGUAUUGAAACCGAGCGCUCACUGGCAGGGGUCGCAGAGAUUAAGGCUUCAGGUGAGAAUGCAGUGAUGGCAACGUGGAGAUGGCGCCAUACCGGGCUUGAGGCUCUGCUCGGACGCCUCCUGCAGGCUCACACAGUUUAGGGGCCAUUGGGCAGGGCAGCCUCUGAGUGCAGCAGCAUCCCUAGGGGAGGUGGACCACCUUGUACCACUGGGCAGCCUUGGUGUCUGGACCAGCUCCAAGAGAUACUGACACCACGCAGGUCUCCACGGGCACUGCUGAGUUGAUCGUAAACUCCACUCUUCUGCUUCUGGUGGUGGUCAGGGCUGGGGAAGGUCCGUCAUGACGCAGCCUGGCUAGCCCUUAGGAUAAAGAAUGCCCACUGCUCCCACCAGUCCCAUGCUGGAAGACUCUAACACAACUAAGCAGAAGAGCCCUGUCCUCCAGCCACGCCUGCCUACUGCCCUGACUCCUGCAGGUGCCCAGUCCGGGGAACAACCAACAGGUCACAUAAGCAACAAGAACUUCCAAGAGGAAAUGGAUACAAAACCAAGGAAAGUGGUAGCCCCAUUGUUGAUAAUCUAGAUACAAAAUAAUGAAAAAUUAAUAC
rnacentral:lncRNA from 1 species